AUUUGGCCAUUUUGAUCUUUUACUUAAAAUUACUUUUCGUGGCAGCAAAAAUUGGAAGAUUUGCGUGCUGAAAAAACGACGACGGUAGAUCAAAGGAAGAAAUGGGCAGUCUCCCAAACCCAAACACUUCCGAUUCGUACGCUCUCUUCUCAACAUUUUUUCUCAUCAAUCAAACAUGGCUUCCACUUCAAAGACGGUACCUUCCGCUUCUUCCAUUGUUAGACCCAACCUCUCUUCCUCUCUAUUUACUCACUCUCCGAUCAUUCCAUCAUCAAAUCCCCAAUUUUCAUCUCCAAUUCAUCCUAAAUCCCUACAUGUAUCACCCCAAAAUUUCAAUACACCCAUUUCGUGUCAACAGCAGCUUUCAAUGUUCCUACACAAUUGCAAGACAGGUAACAUUACUGCAACUCAAGCCUUCCAUUUCUUUCACCUGAUGAUGUGUUCAAAUCCUACCCCUCCCUUAUCUUCUUUCACUCAUUUACUUUCUGGACUUACUAAGAUUAAGCAUUACUCUCAAGUAUUUUACCUCUAUAAUCAAAUGCGUCUAUCUGGACUUUCACCUGAUUGCUGCACUCUGAAUAUAUUGUUGAAUUGCCUCUGUAAUUUGAAUCGGGUUGGCGAAGGUCUUGCGGUCAUGGCAGGGAUUUUAAGGAGAGGUUACGUUCCUGAUAUAGUCACAUAUACCACCUUAAUUAAGGGCUUGUGUAUGGAGCAUAGGAUUAGUAAAGCCACACUCUUAUUUACAAGAAUGCAAAAGUUAGGUUGUACGCCUAAUGCGAUUACUUAUGGGACUUUAAUCAAAGGACUUUGUCGAACAGGAAAUAUUGACGUCGCACUUAAGUUGCAUCAGGAAAUGCUCAAUGACACUAGUCGAUAUGGGAUUAAUUUUAAGCCUAUUGUUGUUUCCUACACUAUCAUUAUAGAUGCGCUUUGUAAGGAUAGACGGGAAGACGAGGCAAGAGAACUUUUCGAGGAAAUGAAAGCUCAAGGAAUGAUCCCCAGUGUCAUUUCAUAUACCUCUUUGAUUCAUGGAUUUUGUUGUGGUGGAAAGUGGGAGGAGGCUAAACGUUUGUUCAAUGAGAUGGUGAAUCAAGGUAUUCAACCAAACGUGGUUACAUUUAAUGUGUUGAUUGAUGUGCUUUGCAAGGAAGGAAAGGUUGUCGAGGCUAAGGAUUUGCUAGAGGUAAUGAUUCAAAGAGGCUCUGUUCCUAAUUUGCUUACUUAUAAUUCAUUGAUUGAGGGGUUUUGUUUGGUUGGUGAUCUUAAUAGUGCGAGGGAACUAUUUUUUAGCAUGCUAAGUAAGGGAUGUGAACCUGAUGUGAUUUGCUACACUGUGCUAAUUAAUGGGUAUUGUAAAACCUCAAAGGUGGAAGAAGCAAUGAAGAUUUAUAAUGGAAUGCUUCAAGUGGGAAAGAGGCCAGAUGUGAAAACAUAUGGUGCCUUGUUAAGAGGGCUUUUUCAGGGAGGCAAGGUUGGUGAUGCAAAGAAGCUAUUUGGUGUCAUGAAAGUUUAUGGUAUUCCUGAGGAUUUAUAUAUAUAUGGUAUUUUCUUAAAUGGGUUGUGUAAGAAUGGUUGUUUAUUUGAAGCGAUGGAACUUUUCAAUAAGCUAAAAUCAUAUAACAUGAAAUUGGACAUUGAAUGCUUUAAUUGUCUAAUUGAUGGCCUAUGCAAAGCAGGGAAACUUGAAACUGCUUGGGAGCUAUUCGAAAAACUAUCCCAAGGAGAUCUUCAACCAGAUGUUGUGACUUAUAAUAUUAUGAUCCACGAAUUUUGCAGAGGGGGACAAGUAGAUAAGGCAAAUAUUCUAUUUCAGAAGAUGGAAAAAAAUGGUUGUACUCCCGACAGAAUUACUUAUACUGCACUUCUACGAGGUUUCUUUGAAAGUAAGAAAUCAGAGAAGGUGGUCGAACUUCUUCAUAUGAUGGUUCAGAGGGAUGUAUCGCUAGAUGUCAACAUUUUGCGCCAUAAUCGCAGGCAUGCUUUGCAAAAUUGAAAAAUAUCAAGGAUGUCUAGACUUGCUUCCAAGGUUUCCCGUCCAAGAGCGUUAACGCUGUUAAUAUAACACUUAUUGGUAGACUCAUUAGGGGCUAAUGACUCAGAUUUCUAAUCAAGUACAAGAAGAAAUGAAACAUUGUUUUAUGGACUCGGAGGAUCAUCUUCAUCAGUAGCACAUUAGCCUGCAUGGAACAAAUAAGAUCCCUUUCUUCCACGCCGCCAAGCUCCUAAGGUUUUUCUCACAAAUAGAAUACCAAAAGGACAAAGUUCUCAGAUUGUCCCCAGAGGAAGCUUGAGGUAGUAAGUAGGGAAGGAGCCAACCUCACAAUCAAACACCUUCUCCCACCUCUGCAACUUAACAUGAUCAGCAUUAAUUCCAAAAAUGGUGUACUUGCUCCUAUGCAUUAAUUCCAAAAAUGGUGUACUUGCUCCUAUUGAUUUAGGCUAGACAUAUCUUCGAAGAAAGCCACCAUAUGGUUGAGCAUGAGGAAGGACUCCCCUUUUCCAUCCACAAAUUAAAGUACUUACUGUUAGACCUCCAACCUUCAUACUUAUAAAAGAUGGGCAAGAAGGGGAAUUCACAGAAGGAUUCAGCUAGGGUGCUCAUUGGAGAGGGAGAACACCUGAGGACCCCACCAUAUCACUAAUAUAAAAGGGAAUGUUUUGGGAUUGCUUAGGUUUCAUUUUUGGUAAAAAGCUGCUGAGAGCUUUUAGGGAGAGGUUGCCAGCCUUCUCGAAGGAGCUGGAUUGUUUCUUUUACUGAUAUUGUGUUGUUCUCUUUAUGCUUUCUUCUUACUUUAAUAUUAGCUUGUGGAAAUUUUUUUUGGAUUAUUAUUCAAGGAUUUUUUGAGUUUCAGGUCGGAGACUCCUAACACUUACCUCAUGGGUGGACUUGGGUAGUGAGAGCCAUGUUCUGAUGGUAGUGAGAGCCAUGUUCUGAUAAUAUUGUUCAUAUUAUCAUAUUAAUCAAAAUCUUGUUUCUGACAGAUGGGAACAGCCUCUGUACAAUGUCUGACAAACAGUAAUUCCAGUUUCAUUCAUCUAGUUUCAAGCCACACUACAAAGCCUUUGCCUCUUCCCAAGAAAUGCAGAAAUCUCGUUGUUGUCUUAGAAAUUCUGAAAGUCGUCCUUGAUGAUGUCAUUAGCCUCAAACUCUACUUCAGAUGAGUUAUUUUAUACUGAAUGUGAGUCUCUGGAUGCAGCUGUAUAUGAGGCUCGAGAAUUCAUCGAAAAAUGGCAUCUGAAGACAGAAAAAUUUGCAGUAAAUGUCUUAAAGGCUUUCAAUCAUGGAAGCAAGGAAGGAUAGUUGAAUCUAUUGAAGAGGCUCUAAUUAGUCAAAGAAAUGGCAUUGGCCCAAACUCUGACAUCUUUUAAACCUGAUCGAAGCACUUCAUUUGAAGUCAAAUCGCUGCUGAACACGACAAUGCGAAGGAGGAACACUACAUCACAUCCACCAGAUUAUGGAUCGAGUUAUCCUUAUACGAGAUUGGAUGGUUAGAAAGGACCUACUUCCGUGGGAUAGAUGGAGUCCCAAUUCUUUCGUAUUUUCACUGUCCAUUGCCAUUAGAACUGAUGCUUGAUCCAGUAAUUGUGGCAUUUGUGGAUUGAUAGCGGGUUAAACAUUUUCCCUAGUACUCAUCAGAUGUACAUACUAAUCUCGUUCCCAAUCACACCAUUAAAGCCAUGGUAUUAAAUUGGUGCGAUGAAAGCAAAUUGAACUUUCCAGUUUAUCAUCAUUGGUUCAGUUGUGCUGGCAUAAUUUGAAUCGAAGUGAUAACUUUCAUUAUUUUA